rnacentral:rRNA from 1 species
AGUGAACGCUGGCGGCGUGCUUAACACAUGCAAGUCGAACGAGAACGGGCUAUAGCUUGCUAUAGUUGUCAGCUAAGUGGCGCACGGGUGAGUAAUGUAUAGGUAAUAUGCCUCUUACUAAGGGAUAACAAAUGGAAACGUUUGCUAAUACCUUAUACUCCUUAUUAACAUAAGUUAAUAAGGGAAAGAUUUAUUGGUAAGAGAUUAGCCUGUAUUGUAUCAGUUAGUUGGUGGGGUAAUGGCUUACCAAGACUAUGACACAUAACUGGUUUGAGAGGAUGAUCAGUCACACUGGAACUGAGACACGGUCCAGGCUCCUACGGGAGGCAGCAGUGGGGAAUAUUGCACAAUGGACGAAAGUCUGAUGCAGCAACGCCGCGUGGAGGAUGACACAUUUCGGUGCGUAAACUCCUUUUAUAUGAGAAGAUAAUGACGGUAUUAUAUGAAUAAGCACCGGCUAACUCCGUGCCAGCAGCCGCGGUAAAAC